rnacentral:lncRNA from 1 species
CUUUGGUCUGUGGAAGAGCGGGCAAGCUGCCCAGGAUGACUGCGGGUUGUAAGAGACUGUUCUUUUAUAUCAUUUGACUCAAAGUUUGCCGAGGAGCAAGUCCAGGCAAGUCCUGGGCAAAGGUAGAGAAAUCUUCCGUCUGGAGGACACUGAUGGACGGGUCCUGGCUAAGCGUUGUGAAAUCCUCCAAGGAGCACAGAUGGACACGGCCAGGGGCAGCGAGAGAGAGAUGAGCUGCUGAUAACGGCCGGGAAACGGUCUUUGUGUGUGGGCUUACCUCGAGGAAGAUGGCCAUCUCAGGAGGUACGCACAGGGCUCUUGCUCAAGCACCCAGGGGUGUCAGUAGGCAGCAGAAAAUGGAGGAUAAAAGAGGGGCCAACAACCCCGACAGAUUGGGCGGGGUUUUCUGCCAUCUGAUCCUUCACCACGACGGACUGAGAGGGGUUUUCUGCCAUCAGAUCCCUCACCACGACAGACUGAGAGGGUUUUCUGCCGUCAGAUCCCUCACCACGACGGACUGAGAGGGGUUUUCUGCCAUCAGAUCCCUCACCACGACGGACUGAGAGGGGUUUUCUGCCAUCAGAUCCCUCACCACGACAGACCAGUGAAGGGUUUCUGCCAUCAGAUCCCUCACCACGACAGACUCGAGGCUUUCUGCCUUCAGAUCCUUCUCUCCGGACCGUAUGCUGACGGACUUCCCUGGCCCUGCUACCUGAGACCUGCUGCUUCCUCCCUGACUUACUCUGCGGCUUCUUCCUGCACCCACCCGGUACUGCCCCCUCUGGUUGCCCAAGACCCCCCUCGCUGCUCCUGCCCUUCGGCCUCGGACCGUCAGAACGUCAUGCAAUGGAACUGCUGCCGGAUCCUGGUGGUGCCUAUCCCCGCUUUACUCAAUUCUUGCUUCUUUCUAUCUUUUCCAUCGCUCGCCUUCCCUUCCCCAUCGCCCCGAUCCGGAACAGUGUCCGUCCUCCCCUUUCUCCAUCUCCCUUAUUAACGUUUGUAAUAAACCGGUCGGACCAACAUUUGAACCGUUGUUUCUUAAUCUCACGCCGGGCAUACAUAUCUCAAAGAACCUCCUCUCCCUCCUACAAACUGGAGCAAGACAGGCACCUGAGCUGGGCCUCCUUUGGAGCGGCAGUAGCCCUAAUACCCUCGUGGCCAUACUCAGGUGUUUCCACAGCCACCAACCUCGUACCAACCCUCGUGUUCUUCGUACACGAGGCUGACUCCUCCUCCUCCUCCUUCACCAAGACACCAGGCUGGGAUCUCACCAGCGCAUCCCCCUCCUGCAAGCACC